rnacentral:lncRNA from 1 species
GGAAUUAACCGCAUUUCUUCUAUGGUCGGACAAGUUGAAUGCGGGUAUUUGAGCAGCUUCUGAAGGGUUUUGAAGGGGAUGAUCAAAAGCGUGUUUUGCAUUUUCCCAUAAUUCUGGUCCACUAGUCGUUGCAAACUUUGCAGUAUUUAUUCCUAAAUUCACCGCUGAAACCCCUAAUAUAGCUGCUGUAAGCUUAUCCCUCGUUGUUAUUUUCUGAAAAA